UGGUAGCUGUAACGAAGUGCUUUGCGCACGGGCUCAACUAU
rnacentral:ncRNA from 1 species